CUAGUUUCUGGUCUCUUUUCUCUGUUAGAAGUGUUCUUCGAUCAUUCUGCCAUUGGGUAAGGUACUACAUAGACGUGAUAGCUCGAAAGAUGGUGGGAAAUUUGCAUCCUUCUCGACUAUAUGAGUUGAAUGGUCAUACUGUUAGACAGCUCUUCCCUGGGAGGCCAAAGAGGCUGGAUUUGCGAUACGUGACUAUAAGCCUGAGCAGGACAGUGAAAUUGAAGGACUUCGUAUGUUUACUGAUGAAUUGAAAGGUUCGUAUGUUCAUGCACUCACAUAUUUAUCUUGAGUUUCUUAAUAGGUUUUCGUCAAGUACCGGAACCUUACUAGCUAAAUUAAAUCCUUUUACCAGAAAUCCUUUCUAGUGCAGGUCGCUUAAACACGUCAGACCGUUGCUUCAUGUUAAAAAUUUCUCCCAUGGAUGAUGAACCAACUAAUCCAUCAGGUUAAGAGUCUGUGCAAUGUUG